rnacentral:lncRNA from 1 species
AUGACCCAUAAUUUCUUAAAUAACCAGUUAACAUUUUGUUGUACUUCCUUUUUUUUUCCUUUUCUCUAUGUGGAGGUCUCCUUUUUCCCUGAAAUAGAGUGGCUAUGGUCAUGUUGGGUACAGAGUAGAAGAGAGACUUCUUGGCUCCCAAACUGCCAGCACUUUAAUCACUUCCUUUUGAAAAAAGGUGUGGUUUUGUGUGUCGCUUUUUCCUGGAGUCUCCGCCGCACCCCAGGCAAGACCUUCUAUCCAUCUUUCCCAGUUUGAACUGCCUCAAGGCCAGAUGCACAGCUGUCAUCCUGGGACUUCUUUUCACCUUCUUGGUUCAUUCCCAUGUUUCACUGGAAUACAUCCCCAAGAAAUUUUUAAAGAAACGGUGUAUGGGAGGUAAAUUGUUUUAAGCUGUUCCAUAUCUGAAAAUGGAUUUAGUCUAUAUCACAUUUGGAUGAUAGUUUGUGGUGGCAUAUAGAAUUCCAGGUUCAAAAUCAUUUUUUCAUUAGAACUUUAACAAUAUUAUUCCACGGUUUUUUGGCAACCCAUAGUGUCAUUGCAAAGCCCAGUGCUAGGGGUGCCUGCGUGGCUCAGUGGUUGUGCGUCUGCCUUUGGCUUGCAUCGUGGUCCUGGGGUCCUAGGAUUGAGUCCUGCAUCCGGGUUCUUGCAGGGAGCCUGCUUCUCCCUCUACCUGUGCCUCUGCCUCUCUCUCUCUCUGUCUCUCAUGAAUAAUUAAAUAAAUAAAAUCUUAAGGAAAAAAAAAGAGAAUGUCCUUAUUUCUAUUUUUUCUGUUUUUUCUUGGAACUACUAUUACUGAUGUUAGGUUUUUUUGUAUUGCUCUUACUCAAUUUCUUUAGAAGAGACCUCUCUACAUUUUCUUUAAGAUAGACUCUAAAAAAAUUCUUCAAGAAAGCUAGAGAUGGAAACUUAUUUUUUAAAGAUUUAUUUAUUCAUGAGAGACACACAGGCAAAGACACAGGCAGAAGGAGAAGUAGGCUCCCCAGGGAGCCCGAGGCAGGACUCGAUCCUGGAUCCUAGGAUCAUGGCCUGAAGUGAAGGCAGACACUCAACUGCUGAGCCACCCAGGCGUGAGAUGGGAACUUUUCUGAAAACACACUUUUAAAAAAAUGAACUUCUGGGGGUUCCUGCGUGGCCCAGUUGGUUAAGCUUCCAACUCUUGGUUUUGCCUCAGGUCAUGAUCUCAGAGUUGUGAGAUGGAGCCUUGCUUCCAGUUCUGCACUUAGCACAGAGUUGACUGGAGAUUCUUUCUCCCUUCCCUUCUGCUCCUCCCCCUCUUGCAUGCACUCUCUCUCAUAAA